CUCAGGUGCAGUGUAACCCCAAUGAAAAUAAAACGCAGGCCGACUGCCAACUUGGAAAUCCCUUUAAAAGAUACUCGGAGGUUUCAUUCUUCCUGAUACUUAGCGCAGAAAGGCUUUCCUUGAGAGUAACAAGCGCCAAUGUGACUAUGUCCCUUAAAACGAUCAGCAUUCAAGAUAUUCCAGUAGUCGUUGCAG